CAUCAUAGAAGGCUACCAGGUUGGUUAAAUGUGAUUUCCCCUUAGUGAAUCCACAUUGACUACUCCUGAUAACCUUCUUCUCUUCGGCGUGCUCAGACAUACACACAGAAUAAGCUGUUCUACCACCUUCCUGAGGAUGAAGUUACUUGGCUGCGAAGGCUGAUGUCUCAACCUUUGCCAAGAUUUCAGAACUGAAUUCAUGGUGUGGGAUUUCUCUACCUUCUGGACUUCUCCAUUUCAAGACAGGAAUAUUUCUGUUUACUCAUAACUUCUUCCCCCUCCCUACCAUUUUUCUCCUGGAAAUCAGGGACACUCUGUGUCUGGGAAGCAAUCUGUGCUGAAGGACACUUGGUGAUGUCCUGUGGGGUACUGGAGCCACAGGAGGAAUCUUCUCAGGAACAGCCUGGAAACUGGUAUUUUCUGCUCCUGGACAAGGACAAUGGGGACUUCACAAAUCUUUCAGUAGAGGAAUGGCACAGUGUUUUCUAAGAUGGACACUUUGCAUCGGGCCAAUCCAAAGCCAGGAUUAAUUUUUGGAAGAGGAGCUCUUCAUGUGACAAACUACAACUGCAUCCAAACAGGUGGGAAAGAGUGGAGCCACCUGGUACACCUCCAUUCUCAAUUCAGUGAUUUUAUUUAGUGGGGAAGAGAUCGGUUUGCAUCUUGUUCUUUAAAGGAGUGUAAAAGUCAGGUAAGAGCCAUAUUUCUGAAAGCCCCAAAGAAGACUUUUCUGGAAGGGUGAAGAGCAUCUUCCUUGCACUGGAGCAGCCUGGAUGGUGAAAACGUCAUGACUCCUAUGUGAAAAAGCUCUGACCUGGAAUCACUGUUGUCCUGAAACCUACUGAUGAAAAAUCACUUCUCUGAACUACUUUGCUGUCAAUCCAGACUGAUUUUACAAAGACCACUGAACCAAGCAAGGUGGUUGUCAAGAAACAUGUUGACCAGUUGUUAAGUUGCUUUCUGGAAUAUUUUCUGUGUUGAGUGAGGCUUCGGCCAAGUGAGCUCUUCCAAAGGAAAGCAAUUUUCCAGAGGACUGAAAGCAGAGAUGCCAUACAGUAGGCUGGAAGGGGUAAAGGCUUCAGCACCUGUGUUUGUACAAGGACCCACUGGGGUGCUUGGUAACACCUUCCCCUUUACAGUGCAUGCAUGAUGGCUCUUGGACUGCUGAUAUUUGCAUUCCUGGAGGCUGAAGAGCUCUAAGAAGGGAUUUAGCUAAUUCCAGUUCUUUGGUAGAUAUUGGUGUCCCAGCGUUGGUCUAGCAAGGUAGACCUUGGUAUCUUGGUUCCUUGGAACAGAUUUCAGUGCAGCCAGAACUUAAAUCACACUCCUUGCUCACAGUGUUUAUGAACCUAAGACAAUCAAGAGGAAAUGCAGUUUUAUUAGCUAAACAUCAUGCUGUUACUUUGCUCCCUACCUGUUCCAGGUUAUAAGAGUACUCUUCGACAAUGUCAGAUGUCCUGUUUUUUUUUGCUUAUCCACCAUCCUCCCUUUUUUCCCAAUUUUGAGGAGCAGAGUGCUUUCAGCUCAGAGACUCCUGCUUUGCACCAGCCAUGACUGGAGGGUGUUGAUGUUGAGGUGAAAGCACCAACCCACAGGUGCUAUGAAAAUAGGAACAUGUAGAGAUGUGGAGCUCCUUCUGGAUCUUUCCCCCUAGCCUUGAGCUUCCAGACCUGCCCAUCUCUGCUGCUUUCACAGUGCUGAGAGAAGAAGCAUAAAACAAGUCAUCAUCCCCAAAGGUAAUGAUCUCUUCGGGCAGGUUGCCAGUCGUUUAAUAUCUAUCUUCGCUAAUAACCUAGAAGUGGAAGUAAAUAGCAUGUUAAUGAAAUGUAUGGGUGAGGCUGGACUAAGGGGAGCUGGAGGGGAUGAUUUGGUCAGAGGAAAUGUGGCAAAAGGAUUCGGUGAGGUCAGAAAGACAAGCAGGAAAUUUCAGCUGGGGAAUAAUUUGAAGGACUAGAAGAGGACAGGGGAGCGGAGAUACAAGGCCAUGCUAAAGUGGGGAGGCAGUAGUCUGUGUCCAUAGGGUGACUGAUGCAGGAACACAGUGCUGGAAUAAUAUGUGACACCUUUGGACCAGGAGGACACUGGGAAGCCUCAUGGCAAGAUGAUCUUAAGGUCCAUUCCAGCCCAAGAUUCUAUGGUUCUAUCAUUAAUAAUGCCAAAAAUAUGUAAAAAAAAGUCAUGCCUCACAUGGAUGGUCUUUAAUGGAAGGCCUGUGAGUAAAAAGCACUGCUAAGCAUGUCUGAAAUUGCAGUGCACUUUGGAGGUAAUUUCAGUCUUUGGAGGAAAGAGGGACAUUAAAGAAUCAUCUAUACAAAAUAGAGAAAGGUAUUUAAACUCAGAGGCACAUCAGUUCCAAAUAGAAACAUCCGCUGAACAGCAAGCUAUUAGGUGCGUCAAGUUCCUUAAGUAGGAAGGGCCAAAAGAGUCUGAUUUCCUUAGGCCAGGUUCCCACAGAAGUUCCCACGAGUACCCUUACGGAUAAAGAGGAGGAGGAAAGGAAUAUGACAAUGCUGGAGCAGAAACAAGCUGCUGUAGCCUGUUUUGAGUGAGAAACUUUAGGAGAGAAGAAAGGCCAUGUGCUGGAGAUGGCUCUGGAUUUGCAUUGGAAAUGAUGACGGUUAUAAUUUACUUAUCCGAUGUUCAAGAGCUGGUUCUUGCAGUCCUGUGUGGAUGGUACUUUUAAUACGAGUGGACAAAGAGUAUGUGGCUAAAAGCCCAAGAGAUCUGUGAGGUAGAACUGGGAUGUUCAUGAAUAGAGAUGGUCAAAUAAUAACAAUUACCGUUUUCCAGUGAUUUUUCUUUUGACAUUUUUGCCAGAUAUUGGGAAAUUAUGAAUGUAUAUACUUCUUUUCACCUCUUCUUCCCU